ACCCUGAUCAGAGUUCUAUGACUCCCAGCUAAACGGGCUUGCACAGAACCAAGAUGGCAUAAGCUGAAUACAGCUGUGAUUUGCUUAUUUAUAACAGCUCUGUCUCUUUGAAAAAGAGACAUCAUUUAACAAUUAUGAGAGAAAAAAUCAAGCUCACUUCUAUCAUAAAUGUUGGCUGACAUUAGGGGGCUUUGACUUAUUUCUAACCCAGUGAGAUUUAAUUCUGCCACCCUCAACCCAUACUAAGAGAAAUUGGAAUCAUUCAUUAUUUAGAGGGAGAGUCCAAAUAAUAUUGCAAUAUCACAGGCUUCCUUUAAAAGCCCUUCUCCUGAUGGAAUCUCUGAUUUUCCUUUC
rnacentral:lncRNA from 1 species